ensembl:lncRNA
UUUUCUAUAGGUGUGCUUGGCAUAGAGGCUGCGGUGGAGCAGGUGGAGCAGGUGGAGCAGGUGGAGCAGGUGGAGCAGGGCCAAUCAGAAGCCAUCCUCUACAAUAAAGCCUGACUCUACUCAUCAUUCUGUGCCAGACCGUGAAGGAUCUACAGUCAGUCUUUGCACCGUUCACUCCAGCCUCCAAACUGUGUAAACUGGUAACUGUUGUCUUUGCUUCCUCCUAGUCUGGAUCCCGGCCGUUCGUGUCCACCUGCUCCCGCUGUUCUUGGAUCAAAGAACCCUGGCUGCAACAACUCACCUGGUCAGUCUCCCCCGUUUCCUGGACGCCGCAGCCUCCAGAACAGCUGCAUGCCACCCAGAGCUUCCCAGCGUCCAACUCCCCCUCAUCUAGGUCUACACCUGGUCCCCUUUCAGUCCAUUCACGCUGAACCUCAGCACGAGCAUUCCAGACUAGUGAGUGGAUUCUGGUUUCAUGUAGAUCGUUUUUUCUAGAGCUCGUGUAAGUGUUGUUACUUCUCUAGUGAAUUCCAAUUCCUCUGUAGAUUUACUUUUGAACUCCUGUAUGAUUAUUAGUAAGCCCUGUGUGUUAUUGGUCCGUGUAUUUAUCUGGCAAUUGGAUUUUCCGUUCUGAAACGGGUAUUGAAAAACAAAAAAACGGGGUUAUUUGAUUUUCGUUAUAAAAUACAAAAAUUAAAAUUGAAAUACAAGGCGUUUUUCCUUUUCAUGAUCAAAAAGGGAUAUACAUUUUUAAAAUGCGUUGAUCUUCAUUUUAUAUUUGGAAUAACAAAAAAAGUAAAAUCGGUAAGAGACAGAAACGAAAAAAGGUCCGUUUUUUCAUUUUCUGAGACCGGAAGUGGUCAUCAGCAAGUGUGGAGCCAAACAGAGGACGGUGCAUAGACUGGAUAUAAUUUUUUUCCAUUAGUUUUCAUGGUCAAAAUGAGAGAUCAGGUGGCCGAUCUUAAAAUAAAUCAAUAUUGAAUUUUUUAUAGAGCGUUAAAGUUUUACGAAGCCAGGGGGCGGGACUACUUGAUUGACAGUCUGGUCUGGAAUGAUUGACAGGUCCUAUGGAGGAGGCAGCAGAGACUGCUCUCCUCGUUUGGAUUAAUUCUGAUAUAAUAACUGUUGGUUUAUUUAUCGGUGGAGCAGCAGAACAUUUUCCACAGACAGUUUUCCUGCCCGUUGGCUUGUUUUAACCAGUUUUCUACCUUCGGCUGAUUCUACCAGCAGACACUGAAAGGACUCUGAUAGUUCGGUAAGUUAAUGUUUAUUUUCGUAUCGGUGCCGCUUUAAUGCACUUUAUAUGCAGCUUUAGUGUCAGAUAUAAUGUGUGCCAUGCACUCCAGAUGUUGGUGGAGUUUAUUUCUACGCUGGUUCACAUUAAUGUAACGUUUAGAAAACCUAAAUGUAAUUAAAACAGUAAGGUUAAGAUUCUGUGUUGUCAGUAGUCCUGAAUAUCUGCUGAGUCUCUGAAGUUAAACUGGAGAAAACAGUAAAUCUGCUGUCUAGUCGUUAACAUUGUUUAAUGACUGAUUCACAUGUUGUAGUACGUAUUCCUGCAGUGUAGACUGGAAAAAUAAACUCCCAGAAUAUGAUCAAAGUAAUGACGAACCUCUGCUGUUGAUGCUGAUACUGUGUUGUCUGUCUUCAUCUCAGGUGUCUCAUGUUCACUGUGAGGAUCUUCUGAGUGAAGCCAGCAGAAGGAAAACCUCAUCUGGUUGUGAAGAAGGAGACUGAAUGGACGACAUCCUCAGUGAACCACUUCCUGUUUAACUUUCACUUACAGAAGGACAGACCAACUCUCAGCAGCUUAUUAUUCUCUGUUCUUAGUGUUCACAGGUUCUAUUUAUCACCUUUAACUGCAUCUCUGCUGUUGGAGCAGAAAUACAAUAUAAAAAGUCCAUGUUAUUUAUAGCAGAUAUGCAGCAUUAAAACAUCAACACAUUCAGGGCAGGAGCUUCAUUAUUACCUUUAUUGCACAUUUAAAAACUACAUUAUUUAACAAUUGUGAACUGUAAAGAUGUGUAAACACAUGUAAUAAAUGGAUGAAAUAAACAACGUGUUGCUGACAGUGAAGUGUAAAUACUGAACAGUCACAAGACAAGUUGUAUUCUGAAGAGAGGAGCUGAAUCUGCAGCACUAUUGUUAUUACUGGAAGGAUGAGGAGGACAUCAGUGCUGCUCUUCCUCACAAUGAUGAAGGACAAAAGACUCUUCAGACAACCACAGCUGGAUGUUCAUGUUCUCUGGAGCUCUCAGUCCAUCAGACUAGAUGUUCCCAAUGAUCCAGACCAAGACUGGAAGGAAAAGACUAACAGUGUGGAAAAGAUCUACAAGGUUCUUUCAGUCCAACUGCUGGAAUGUUAAAUAUCAGAGUGAACACAUCAGCAUAUGAAUGGAACACAACAGAGUGUUCUGUUUU